GAUGAACGCUGGCGGCGUGCCUAAUACAUGCAAGUCGAACGCACAGCGAAAGGUGCUUGCCCCUUUCAAGUGAGUGGCGAACGGGUGAGUAACACGUGGACAACCUGCCUCAAGGCUGGGGAUAACAUUUGGAAACAGAUGCUAAUACCGAAUAAAACUUAGUGUCGCAUGACACAAAGUUAAAAGGCGCUUCGGCGUCACCUAGAGAUGGAUCCGCGGUGCAUUAGUUAGUUGGUGGGGUAAAGGCCUACCAAGACAAUGAUGCAUAGCCGAGUUGAGAGACUGAUCGGCCAUAUUGGAACUGAGACACGGCCCAAACUCCUACGGGAGGCUGCAGUAGGGAAUCUUCCACAAUGGGCGAAAGCCUGAUGGAGCAACGCCGCGUGUGUGAUGAAGGCUUUCGGGUCGUAAAGCACUGUUGUAUGGGAAGAACAGCUAGAAUAGGAAAUGAUUUUAGUUUGACGGUACCAAACCAGAAAGGGACGGCUAAAUACGUG
rnacentral:rRNA from 1 species